rnacentral:rRNA from 1 species
UACGUAGGGGGCGAGCGUUGUCCGGAUUUAUUGGGCGUAAAGAGCGUGUAGGCGGCUUGGUAGGUCCGCUGUGAAAACUCGGGGCUCAACCCCGAGAGGUCGGUGGAAACCAUCUGGCUAGAGUCCGGAAGAGGAGAAUGGAAUUCCCGGUGUAGCGGUGAAAUGCGCAGAUAUCGGGAAGAACACCCGUGGCGAAGGCGGCAUCCUGGACCGACACUGACGCUGAGGAGCGAAAGCCAGGGGAGCAAACGGG